UUCAGGACAGAGCACAGCUUAUACCACUGAGCUCCAUGGAUUGAGUGAAGGUCCGCUUAGAUUGUCAUAAUGUUGAUGCUUCCACAUGGUGGACUCCUAGUUAUAAUAUCCCAACAAUCUCUACUGCUAAGGAAUAAGAAUCUGUCUAUUGUUCAAUGACAUGGGGGCAACAAAUGGGUUCAGGAGCAACAUGUGGGACUGAAAGAGUUUCUACAUUUUGGGAGGGCAGAACGGAUGCCAUAUGGAGAAACAAGUGGAGAUUUGCCCGAUGCGCCCCACGACCAGAGCCUUUCACUGAUAUGUGUAGCUACACACCACAGUGUGGAUGCAGUCAGCUUUAUUCUGUGGCAUGACAUAUCCUGCACGCCACCGCCAGGAUUUGCCAUUGACCUGAUCAUGCACUCACUGCAGUCAAAUGAGGAUUUUGAUAUUGACUUCAACAGGAACAAGAGCAGGCUGAAUAUCAUCUCUAGAGAAUGUCUCAGACUAAACUUAAAGACAAAAUGCAAAGCAAAGAUAGGCUGUGUUUCAGGAAAGCAUUUAAACACAUGCAUAGGUCCACCCCUUUUUCAGUAGAACACUU